rnacentral:rRNA from 1 species
GACGAACGCUGGCGGCGUGCCUAAUACAUGCAAGUCGAACGCAGUGGGUACGGGUGAGUAAAACGUGGGUAACCUCCCAUCAGAGGGGAUAACACUUGGAAACAGGUGCUAAACCGAUAGUGGUGGCUGGACCCUCGGUGCAUUAGCUAGUUGGUGGGGUAACGGCUCACCAAGGCCCCGAUGCCUCGCCGACCUGAGAGGGUGAUCGGCCAAACGGGGACUGAGAAACGGCCCAGACGCCUACGGGAGGCAGCAGUAGGGAAUCUUCGGCAAUGGACGAAAGUCUGACCGAGCAACGCCGCGUGAGUGAAGAAGGUUUUCGGAUCGUAAAACUCUGUUGUUAGAGAAGCGGUAUCUACCCAGAAAGCCACGGCUAACUACGUGACAGCAGCCGCGGUAAUUC